rnacentral:sRNA from 1 species
GCGGUGGCGAAGGCGGCUUUAGUGGCAGCAUGAAGCGCACCCCGACUGCCGAGGAACGAGAGCGCGAAGCUAAGCUAAACCAAAAAGGCUUUAUCUAGGAGGUGAGACUUGUAGAAACUCUUGAUUGAUGGAAGGAAUGAGUCAGUGAACUAGAAGGGUAUUCGAGGCCUGUGGAUAACCAUGUGAGAAGAAACUGAGGCUUCUUGAAGAGCUUGAAGACACUUGGCUUCCUUAUCUGACCCCCAAAGAUGAUGAAUUCUAUCAGCAGGUUCCAGACCUCUGUCCCCAUCCCAGCUCUCCCUGUGACCUCCAGCUUUCCAUUUCCAACUGCCUACGGAGCAGCUCUACCUGAAAGUCUUCCAGCUACAUCUAACUCAACAUGAUUCAUAUUCAUUAAGUUACUUACUCCAUUAAACAAAUGGAUUUCACUCCCCGACUCUGUGCCAGUGGCAGCUGAAAUAUCCUAAACUAAUUCUCCGAGAAGCCAGCAGUGUAUCUGAGGAGCUCCAUAAAGAGGUUCAAGAAGCCUUUCUCACAAUGCACAAGCAUGGC